rnacentral:rRNA from 1 species
UACGUAGGGGGCAAGCGUUGUCCGGAAUCAUUGGGCGUAAAGCGCGUGUAGGCGGUUCAGUAAGUCUGCUGUGAAAGUCCAGGGCUCAACCCUGGGAUGCCGGUGGAUACUGCUGGGCUAGAGUACGGAAGAGGCGAGUGGAAUUCCCGGUGUAGCGGUGAAAUGCGCAGAUAUCGGGAGGAACACCAAUUGCGAAGGCAGCUCGCUGGGACGUCACUGACGCUGAGGCGCGAAAGCGUGGGGAGCAAACAGG